ensembl:misc_RNA Metazoa_SRP Metazoan signal recognition particle RNA
GCCGGGCAUGGUGGCUCAUGCCUGUAAUCCCAGCACUUCGGGAGGCCAAGGUGGGUGGAUCACCUGAGGUCAGGAGUUCAAGACCAGCCUGACCAAUAUGGUGAAAUCCCAUCUCUA